CCAUAGCCCCGAUUGUAACGGCAUCCUUUUGUGUAGUGAAGCGAAACAAAAGAUAUAGUGAAAAGCGGGAAAUUGC
rnacentral:sRNA from 1 species